AGCUUCCAUGCAGUCGAACGGCAGCACGGGAGCAAUCCUGGUGGCGAGUGGCGAACGGGUGAGUAAUAUAUCGGAACGUGCCCAGUCGUGGGGGAUAACGCAGCGAAAGCUGUGCUAAUACCGCAUACGAUCUAUGGAUGAAAGCGGGGGAUCGCAAGACCUCGCGCGAUUGGAGCGGCCGAUAUCAGAUUAGGUAGUUGGUGGGGUAAAGGCCCACCAAGCCGACGAUCUGUAGCUGGUCUGAGAGGACGACCAGCCACACUGGAACUGAGACACGGUCCAGACUCCUACGGGAGGCAGCAGUGGGGAAUUUUGGACAAUGGGCGCAAGCCUGAUCCAGCAAUGCCGCGUGCAGGAUGAAGGCCUUCGGGUUGUAAACUGCUUUUGUACGGAACGAAAAGGCUCUGGUUAAUACCUGGAGUUGAUGACGGUACCGUAAGAAUAAGCACCGGCUAACUACGUGCCAGCAGCCGCGGUAAUACGUAGGGUGCGAGCGUUAAUCGGAAUUACUGGGCGUAAAGCGUGCGCAGGCGGUAAUGCAAGACAGAUAUGAAAUCCCCGGGCUUAACCUGGGAACUGCAUUUGUGACUGCAUUGCUGGAGUGCGGCAGAGGGGGAUGGAAUUCCGCGUGUAGCAGUGAAAUGCGUAGAUAUGCGGAGGAACUCCGAUGGCGAAGGCAAUCCCCUGGGCCUGCACUGAC
rnacentral:rRNA from 1 species